ACGAACGCUGGCGGCGUGCUUAACACAUGCAAGUCGAACGGAAAGGCCUCUUUCGGGGGGUACUCGAGUGGCGAACGGGUGAGUAACACGUGAGUAACCUGCCCUUGACUUUGGGAUAACUUCAGGAAACUGGGGCUAAUACCGGAUAGGAGCUCCUGCUGCAUGGUGGGGGUUGGAAAGUUUCGGCGGUUGGGGAUGGACUCGCGGCUUAUCAGCUUGUUGGUGGGGUAGUGGCUUACCAAGGCUUUGACGGGUAGCCGGCCUGAGAGGGUGACCGGCCACAUUGGGACUGAGAUACGGCCCAGACUCCUACGGGAGGCAGCAGUGGGGAAUAUUGCACAAUGGGUGGAAGCCUGAUGCAGCAACGCCGUGUGCGGGAGGACGGCCUUCGGGUUGUAAACCGCUUUCGCUCAUGACGAAGCUUUGUGUGACGGUAGUGGGUAAAGAAGCACCGGCUAACUACGUG
rnacentral:rRNA from 1 species